rnacentral:rRNA from 1 species
UUAAAUUGAAGAGUUUGAUCAUGGCUCAGAUUGAACGCUGGCGGCAGGCCUAACACAUGCAAGUCGAACGGUAACAGGAAACAGCUUGCUGUUUCGCUGACGAGUGGCGGACGGGUGAGUAAUGUCUGGGAAACUGCCUGAUGGAGGGGGAUAACUACUGGAAACGGUAGCUAAUACCGCAUAACGUCGCAAGACCAAAGAGGGGGACCUUCGGGCCUCUUGCCAUCGGAUGUGCCCAGAUGGGAUUAGCUAGUAGGUG